AUAAAAUUUGGUCAACUUUUUUUCUGUAUGAUAAUAUUAUCAAAUAUAGCAUAUAUAUAUAAGAAUAUUUUGUACGAAUAUAAAAUAAUAAAAUGAUUGAUAAACAGAAAUGUAAUAGUAAAAAAGGAGACAUGAAACAUCAUUAUAAAUCAAACGUUGCAAAUAUUUGCCUAGUGAUACUUUUUGGCUAUGAAGUAUAAAACAGAUGACAAUAUAGAAGGUUAUUCUAAUAACAUAAUAUCAAAUUAUUGUCGGUACAACCAAUAUACAUAUAAUAAAAAUAUGUUUUUCUAAUGCAAUUUUUGUCAAUAUUUAAUUGCUCCCAUUAAUGUUUUACUAUGUAAAUACUUUUUUAUUAAAUUUCUUUUUGGUUAUAUACUAAGAUUCUUUUGACACUAUAGAUUUAUAGAAUUAUAUAAUAUUUAUCGCAGUGUUUCUACAUACUAAAGCUGUCCAACAGUACUUUGAAAUAUAUAUUUUUAGAAAACCUUCCUACUGUGCACAUAUAAUCAAUUCUUUUACUGUUAUUAUAUUUGACAUAAACAAUGAAUGAGCUUAUUAUCAUUCUUUAAGUAGAAUAUAUGUAAGUUAUGCUAUCUUACAAAGCUAAUCUCAAAAACGAGAUUACAACUAUUCAUGAUUCCGAAAGUAUCACGUUUUACCCAUGCAUUUUGCUGGGGCUCACCAGGCCAUACCGUAGAAAAUGUAUUUUUCUUCUUAAAUGAGAAUGAUUGCCUAUUAAAAUAGAAAUCCUCCAUUCCACUUCUUUUUGUAGAUGUACUUCUUUCUUCUUAAAAAAUAAUUUUUUAUAAAGAAAAAUAAUAUUUCCUUUGCAAAAUAUUUGUACGUUGACGGUAAUGCAAGGCCGUGGCACAUUUUAUCCUACACAGUAAAUCAUGUGUGUAAAAUAUAUAAAAAAUUUUAAUAAAAUCUCAAACAAUGCGAUUCUCUUUUUUUUUUUGGAUUUAAAGUUCGCACUAUUUCAUUUGAAU